rnacentral:rRNA from 1 species
GAUGAACGCUGGCGGCGUGCUUAAUACAUGCAAGUCGAGCGAUCGGCCUCGGGGUAGCAAUACUCCGAGGUACGGAGCGGCGAACGGGUGAGUAACACGUGAGCAACCUGCCUUGGAGACGGGGAUAACGUUGGGAAACCAACGCUAAUACCCGAUGAUCCCGCAGCGGGGCAUCCCGAAGCGGGCAAAGGGUUGGGCAACCUUCCGCUCUGAGAGGGGCUCGCGGCCUAUCAGCUUGUUGGCGGGGUAACGGCCCACCAAGGCUUAGACGGGUAGCUGGCGUGAGAGCGCGACCAGCCACACCGGGACUGAGACACGGCCCGGACUCCUACGGGAGGCAGCAGUAGGGAAUCUUGGACAAUGGGCGAAAGCCUGAUCCAGCGACGCCGCGUGGGGGACGAAGGCCCUCGGGUUGUAAACCCCUGUUGUUGGGAAGAAGCCGGCCGCAAGGCCGGUGACGGUACCCAACGAGGAAGCCCCGGCUAACUACGUGCCAGCAGCCGCGGUAAGACGUAGGGGGCGAGCGUAUCG